GCGAAUGGCUCAUUAAAUCAGUUAUCGUUUAUUUGAUAGUACCUUACUACUUGGAUAACCGUGGUAAUUCUAGAGCUAAUACAUGCUGAAAACCCCAACUUCGGGAGGGGUGUAUUUAUUAGAUAAAAAACCAACGCCCUUCGGGGCUUCUUGGUGAUUCAUGAUAACUUUACGGAUCGCAUGGCCUUGCGCCGGCGACGGUUCAUUCAAAUUUCUGCCCUAUCAACUUUCGAUGGUAAGGUAUUGGCUUACCAUGGUUUCAACGGGUAACGGGGAAUUAGGGUUCGAUUCCGGAGAGGGAGCCUGAGAAACGGCUACCACAUCCAAGGAAGGCAGCAGGCGCGCAAAUUACCCAAUCCCGAUACGGGGAGGUAGUGACAAUAAAUACUGAUACAGGGCUCUUUUGGGUCUUGUAAUUGGAAUGAGUACAAUUUAAACCUCUUAACGAGGAACAAUUGGAGGGCAAGUCUGGUGCCAGCAGCCGCGGUAAUUCCAGCUCCAAUAGCGUAUAUUAAAGUUGUUGCAGUUAAAAAGCUCGUAGUUGAACCUUGGGUCUGGCUGGCAGGUCCGCCUCACCGCGUGUACUUGUCCGGCCGGGCCUUCCUUCUGGAGAACCUCAUGCCCUUUACUGGGCGUGUUGGGGACCAGGACUUUUACUUUGAAAAAAUUAGAGUGUUCAAAGCAGGCCUUUGCUCGAAUACGUUAGCAUGGAAUAAUAGAAUAGGACGUGCGGUCCUAUUUUGUUGGUUUCUAGGACCGCCGUAAUGAUUAAUAGGGACAGUCGGGGGCAUCAGUAUUCAAUUGUCAGAGGUGAAAUUCUUGGAUUUAUUGAAGACUAACUACUGCGAAAGCAUUUGCCAAGGAUGUUUUCAUUAAUCAGUGAACGAAAGUUAGGGGAUCGAAGACGAUCAGAUACCGUCGUAGUCUUAACCGUAAACUAUGCCGACUAGGGAUCGGGCGAUGUUCUUUUUCUGACUCGCUC
rnacentral:rRNA from 1 species